AGGACGAACGCUGGCGGCGUGCUUAACACAUGCAAGUCGAGCGGAAAGGCCCUUCGGGGUACUCGAGCGGCGAACGGGUGAGUAACACGUGAGUAAUCUGCCCUUAGCUCUGGGAUAGCUCCGGGAAAACCGGGAUUAAUACCAGAUACGACCACUUUAGACAUCUGCCGUGGUGGAAAGAAUUUCGGCUAAGGAUGAGCUCGCGGCCUAUCAGCUUGUUGGUGGGGUAACGGCCUACCAAGGCGACGACGGGUAGCCGGCCUGAGAGGGCGACCGGCCACACUGGGACUGAGACACGGCCCAGACUCCUACGGGAGGCAGCAGUGGGGAAUAUUGCGCAAUGGGCGAAAGCCUGACGCAGCGACGCCGCGUGGGGGAUGAAGGCCUUCGGGUUGUAAACCCUUUCAGCAGGGACGAAGCGAAAGUGACGGUACCUGCAGAAGAAGCGCCGGCUAACUACGUGCCAGCAGCCGC
rnacentral:rRNA from 1 species